rnacentral:rRNA from 1 species
AGGUAGUAAUACAUAAACAAACCCAUUUAUUUUGGCGGCAUCUCAUCUAUUUAGAGGAACUUGUUCCAUAAUCGACACUCCCCGUUAUUUUUUACUUUAAUCACAAUUUAUAUACCGCCAUCUUAAGAAUUAAUAUUUAUAUAUUUCUCUAAAUAAAAAAUAAAAAGUUAGGUCAAGGUUUAAUUUACAUUAAAGAUUCAAAUGAGUUACACUAAAAACUAUUUAAGGAAUAAUUUAACAAAAUUAAGAAAAAGGAUUUAAUAGUAAUAUACGAAUAUAAUCAUACAUGAAUUAGAAAAGAAAUGGGU